rnacentral:lncRNA from 13 species
AUGAGAGAAAAACGUGAAGCCCCUUCCCUGCCACCGACUUUCCCUGUCUGCCCCGAUGCCAGCCUGCCUGUGUCUUCACGGGAAUCUCCGUGGGCGAGGAGCUGUUUAUGCCUUCCUGGACGGACAUGCAGGCUGUGCUGUGUCUUGAGAGGCACCGAGGCCUCACCACGGCUUCAGCCAUGGGCGUCGAUUUCUCCCCUAAAGCUCUGGAGGACACUCUCCGGACUGUUCUCCUGGCUCCUCCAGGUGCGCGUCCCCACCUGCGCUGGGGCCUCAUGGCCUCCCUCACAGGGCCAUGUGAGAAGGCUGAGCACAGGGAGGCGGCUGUGGUGGGGGCUGGGGGUGUCUCGUGUCUUCCUUUUUUUUAAGUGGAGGAAGAGUGAUUCCCAGAUUCUCACCCAUCUGGACUCAUCCUUGAUCUCCUUGGCCAGAGAUGGCCACGUGACUACCCUACUGCCAGGGAAACCGAGGCAGCAAAUAUCUGGGUUUUCAGGCUAUGGUGGGAACAGUUGUAGAGAGUGGCACCCAGGUCCAAAUCAUGAACUGAUGUAAACCUGGCUGCGGCCCCUCAUCCUGCCGCCCCAUCCCUGCAGCAAACAGCAGCUCUUCUCACCAACAGGGGCUCUUUCUCUGCCCCUGGAGGCCGGGCGGCCUCUGACUGACUUGCUUUGGCCAGUAGGAUGGGGGGUUUUGCCCAGCCAAGGCCUCAGCUGUGUGAGUCUCGCAGUUCCCACAAAGCCCUGUACUGUCACGGGCACCUGCCUGUGGCCCUGAGUCUCCGUGGGGCCCAGCUGGGGUGUGAGGGGGCUCAGCAAAGCUCCGCAGGGUCACCCAGCCAACCCGGCCGAGCAGACACGUUUAUUCUCUUCCGCGCCAGCUCAGACUGCAGCCCUGUCCCAACACCACCUAGACGGGAGCAGAGCCAGCGGCUGCGGUUACAGGCUCAGAGGUUUGUGGUCAUGUCGUGGGGUUACCACUGUGGCAAUAGAUAACUGAUAAUAGAAACAGCAGCAACUAC